GGUACCCUUCGAACUAAGGGUAGUUGCAACGAGGGUACGCCGUUCAGUUAUAUGUAUAAGUAUAUCGGUGCCCUGUAAAAAGUGCCAUAGGAUGGAUACCAUAGGCUGAAAACAUGGUUCAGAAGCGUGCGCCAGCGUUUGAAGGCCAGAGAGACAAGGACAGGAUUGCAAGAGCAUCCCUUAUUCUGUGGCGGCUCGUUGUACGGCUCGACGCAUUCGAAUGCUCUCACUCCCCUGAUCCUGGGGAUUCCAGGUGGUUUCUGACCCCCUCUUCUCCCCUUUGCGCGCUGUACGCCCUCUCGAAAAUUAGGUAGCCUGGAUCCGAUGCACACAGCUGCGAUCCGUAACAGCGUCGAGGACCCAGGAGGAUGCUGCUCGCGGAUAUCUGCCGCGAUUCUUUUUACUUUCUUCCUUUCUUCCUUUUUCGAGACGAUUUAGACGGCGCUGUGUUAUUUCGUGCGUUUGAUGUUUGGCGCCGGAUACCGAUUGGGCUGCAUAAGUUGCGGAUGUAUUCAUAGAAAAAGUAGGAGUUUGUUUAGGAUGUAAGCAGGAAUACUAGUAGAUCGAAAUGCAAUCUGAGCUUGAUUACAUAGGUUUUCUAUUAACAUUAUUACCAAUAUUACCAUUCUAUUGCCAUGUAAUUGAUUACAUGGUUAACGGUAAAAAGUUUGAUGAGUUUUCUGUUGAACAGCUUAUACAUCGAUAUAAAAAGAGCGUCUCUUCGAUUGGAUUACUAUUCUGACAUCUUUAAAUUCGUAUUAUCCGUCAUUUAGGAGUAAUUUAUCGUAUUCGAUGUUACAAAGGCAACGCAAAUGCGUAAUUCUCACAUUGACCAAUAAAAGCGCGAUUUCUUAAAAUUUUUCUUCUGUAAAUCACAUUUUUAGAAAACAGCAAAAACCAAAUGAAGACGCAAGAAUUAUUCUACACCCUGUGUACUCUAUGUGUUCAAAAUUUAUUCCACAUCCUCUCAUCAGUAUACGUAUCUGACGAAACACACAGUGAGCGAGGCUAAGAAAACUUAGGAAACACCCUAUUACCCACAAAUAUCAGCCAUUGUCGCGACCAGUGGGGAAUCAAACCAGGUAACGCGGGAUCCUGGACGACCUAGCUGUCCAGGUAGGAAAAAAAGCCGGUGUCGGUCCGCGCCGCCCAGAGAUAAUCCGCGUAGCGACGGUGGUGGGACUUACUUGCCCCAUCCCCUCCGUGUGGAGCGGCGCGCUGCGAUGUCCAACCCCUAUAAGAGGCAACGAUACCACGGCUGAAAAGCCGCUGCGAAUAACGUGCUUACGCGUGAUCAUCCGACCGCGAUCCUCAAUGCCCGUGACAGAUCAAGCUGCGCGCGCUUCUUCUUCUCUUUCUCUCCUAGCGAACAAUCGUCGUGUUUGCCGACACAAUUUCCACGGAUUAAAAUCGUGAGAGCAAGAAGAGCCGGCUAGAGGUUAAGAUCCUUUCUUCGUACGUUUCCACGUGGACGCCGCCGUGUGCAUCGUGACGGGAAUUUUUCUGAUCGCUUCGCCGAAGUUUGACUAUUCUGAACUUUGUGAGCUUUCUCGAGAAAAAAAGAAUGAGGUGAUAUUGAGCAAAUUCGUGCAACUAGAGGUGUAUGCUCACACAUACAUUAAGGAAAGGAAGGAUGAACAGAGAGAUAUAGAGUGGAAGUACCGAUGCAGCGGUCGAUCACACAAAGGGUGAGAAACGAAGGGCAGAAAACGAAUAAAGGAGACUCCCGACUACGGCACGUGCGAGGGCUGCGAACCGCAAAAGAGGCGGCUUAUAUUAUUAUAACCGUGGGCAGGUGGGCGAGGCACUCUAUUGGCAGUGCUAACGAGGGAUCGGUAAUUAUUACCCACGACUUAACUCUUAGCUGCUCGUGCAAAGACCUUUAUUGUAAUCGCUCACCCUUCGUCCAUUCUUCUUCAAACCCGAAUCUAGUUUGCGGGAAUCCUAUAACAUGACCGUGGCUAAGGAAUUAAUACGCAUUUACUGAUAGAACUCCGACACGUUCCUCGUAUUUUCACAACUACUUUCCCAAGUUCUGUACAGGUAUCAAGAAUAGGGAUUAAACUUUAUUGUUUAAGAUAAUUGAAUACUAAUAAUUGGAUCUAUUAGUACCAUCUUUUGGUAAAAAUGAUCACAAAUGGCUCUUCAAAGUGGUUGUGAAGAUUUUAAGAUUUUGAGAUUCGAUAAAAAUAAACGUUAAGUAAUAUGGCAUAACUUAGUAUAAUUUUACGAUGAUAAAGAUAACAAUAUCUCUUCAGAUCUUGUUUAAAUGUAUGGAUAGAUAUUGUAUGUAUACAUUUAUUCCAAGAAUAUUCCUUGAAAGAUGGAAUCUACUAUUAUUAUGAUAAUAAUUUAUAUAACAGAAGAGAGGAAAUAAUAAACGUUAUUUAGAUGUACUUAUAUAAAAGAAUAUUUACAUUCAUGAAGUAUAGAAUAUUUAUAUUCACAAUAUUUAUAUAAUUAUGAACGUACACAUAUGUGUAUUCAUAAUUAAAUAUAUACAUAUGUAUAUGUACGUCUAUUGUUUAUUGAGAACGAUCAUGUAAAACUGGAUUUCGUGAAUGUGUUAAGGUUCAUCGCAUGGUAAGUUUGCGAGCAACCGGGUCGAACAUCGUAUCAGAUGAUUUUCACGUUUUGAUGGAGUUGUUGACCCUUGUAAAGGUAUCUGCGUGCCGCCACGAUUAUACACUUUCAGCGCGUUAGUGUGAAUGUACGACUACCUGUCCGGUCAAGGUGGACGAUCCAUCAUCGUGUCAACGGAGCGUUACACUAUACGACCAGGAAUUUCUAACAUUCCCCCUCGUGUACGUAUUCGUCCUCUAUCGGGUUUGAACGAUUUUUUUUUUUACCGGGCCAGAUAAAGAAUAGCAAAAUAAGAAGGGUGCAAUCUUAUCGCGAACACGAGGAUUAAAGGAAAAAAAAUAAUAUAAAAUUGAAAGUGAAAUCGUAAGAAGCACGAAUAUCGUUGAAACUUGUUUCAUUCGUGCGCAGAAAAACGAAAGAUAUACGGUUGACAAAGAGGUAAUGAGUCGUCAUGACACGAGUGAUGAAAGAUGUUGUUGAGAUUUCGCAUCUACAUAAUUUUUAUUUUUUAAACUAACGAUGUAAAGUCAAUUACUUUUGACAGAUCAAAGAAUAAUAUUCUUAACUAAAUAUUCAUGAAACAAACAACUUAAUUCUCAAACUUCACCACGCAAGAUUUCCAACGGUACUUCAUUCCACAAACUGAAAAAUCUCAUGCAACGAAAGCAUCUUUCAAUUUUUGGUUACCGCUGAAACCCAAAAGGAUAAUCGCUUGUUUGUUACUUCCCCUAAGAACAAGCCUUCUGUUCUUGCUGAGGAGCCAAGUUGCUCUGUCGAAUUAACGUAAAUCCUUUUUAAAUAAUAAAUCUUCCGUUAAGUGUAAUGAAUCCGUGAAAAACGAAGGUGGCUGAGAAGUAAAGGGUGUUAGGUUACGAGGCGUCUUUUGUAAAGGUUAGGACGACUAGUAGCGAUAAACGCUGCCGGUGGUACAGAGGCAGCUGUAAAAUAGACCAAGACUUUAGAACGAUACUCGCUGCUUGCUGUUUAGCCUCGUUAUUAACCAGGACUUGGAUAUUUGGAUACCCUUAAUCUCUUUUCUACGGUUCUACCGAGCCUAACCUGCCUGACUGAACAGUGACAAAUAAUAUCAAGUUGCCUACUGCGAUGCCAGCGCUACUCUGGACUUGCUAUCUGAUUUUAAAAGACACGUCACCGAAGAUGAUCCUCCGUUGACAAAAGGUGUCGAGACCGAACCUGGAUCGUUGUCCGGAAUUUUUCCCGAAAUUGCCAGCGCCGUUUUACCGGAUGCAAUUGACACACGUGAUAAAAUAAAUGAUUGAUCGAGUGCUUGCGUAAAUAUUGUGAAGGAUAAUAGAGAUAUAAGGAAAGAGGAGUUAUACAAGCUGUCUCACACAAACACGUGAAAAUAUCACGUUUUAAUGAAACUAUAAACUACAAAUAUAAUUUUCCGCUAUUAAUCAUCAUACCAUAACUGUUGCUCGAUGCUAUGAGGCAAGAGAAUAAAAUCGUUUAAAACAAGAUUCGUAUCGACGAAAGUGGAAACCGCGGCAAAGAAACGGUAGAAAUCAAGGCCAAGUUCAUCAACUGGGAGAAAGAACACUGAACACCUAACAAGACCAAGAAAAAGAACGAAACGCAGAAGGAAAGACAGAAAGAAAAAAACAUAUACGCACACGGCAGCAUCGUCGAGAUCCUUCACGAGUCAGUUCGAUGAGGAGAAUGGCAGAGAAACGAUACGCGAUGAAGAUAGACGAAUACAGAGGAAUCACGAAGGGAAAAGAGAAAGGAGGAGCCAGUUCAACGAGUUCUAAGGCGGUGGCGGCCUUAAAAAGAUGUCGAACGCUUUGAUGUUUGCCGCACGUCAUCUUGUGCGCUACCUCUGCGCGCUGAUCCACGCUACAACCAACGACUAGCGAGGGAUUGCCGAAAGAUCGCGAUCAAGAGGGUAGAAUCGCGUGCAGGUACCCUUUAGUCUUCGCAGUUUGCACGAAUUCGCAUCACCUUGAUGGUUCACUCGUAUAUACUCUUUUUAAAGACGCGUCUUGUCGACGGAUAGUUCAUGAACACUGUUUGCAAAUAGAUGCUCGCAAACAUUUAUAUAUAUAUGUAAACUCCCUAAAGUUCAUGUAGGAUAGGGAUUCUUUUUGUUUUACGGGUAGCACGAUAGGCUGUGUUUCACGGACAGACC